AAGCCGUACACUUGGCAUUGAGGUCUCC
rnacentral:sRNA from 1 species